AGGCACCUAAAUUUUUUAAAAUAAUUUUUUGAAAAAAAUAUAAACACUGAGUCACAUAUAAAAUUGUUUACUAUAUUAUUUUAUAAAUAAAAUGAUAUACAUUUUGUAUCUCUAGUAUAAUUAUUAUACCUAUCUAUUUUUAAAUAUGUUCCCAUAGAACACUUUUUGUUACAAUAAGUACAAGUAAAAUAUGUUUUUUUACCCUGCAUUACAUGCACACUUAACAAAAUGACAUGGUUAUUUUAUUGUUUCAGUUAUAAGGUAUGAAUUAUAUUGUUCUACAUAAAUAUAUUAUGAUUUUUAUGAUUUAAUUGAUUGAGUAUAUUAUUCAAGAAAAUUGAGUAUAUUAUAUUAUGUAUCCCUUCAAAAUGACCCUGUGCCUGUAAUUAUAUUGUAUCAAAUAAAAUUUGAUGCAUGCAACAUAGGGUUAAGUUAAUUUCCUAUUAAGUCUGUAAAAAUUUAGUAUCAGGUGUUAGGUACAAUAAAUAAUGUUUAAUAAAAUAAUAUAAUACCUAAAAUAUUUAUUAACUACCAAUUAUAUCAAAAAAAUGUUUAAAAAACCUACAAAUUACUAAUUAAACAUCAUAGUUAAAUAUUCUAACAUAAUAUAUAUAUAUAUAUAUAUAUGUAUAUAUGUAUUUGCAUAAUAUUUUUUUUUAUCAAAUAACUAUUUUCAUUUUAUUUUUAAUCUAUACACAUUGUUUAAUAUAAU